GGGGCUAGCGUUGUCCGGAAUCACUGGGCGUAAAGAGCUCGUAGGCGGUCUGUUAAGUCGGGUGUGAAAGCGCCCGGCUCAACCGGGCGAGGACGCAAUCGAACUGCGCGACUAGAGGUAGGUAGAGGCGUGUGGAAUUCCGGGUGUAGUGGUGAAAUGCGUAGAGAUCCGGAGGAACACCAGUGGCGAAGGCGACACGCUGGGCCUGACCUGACGCUGAGAUGCGAAAGCAUGGGGAGCGAACGG
rnacentral:rRNA from 1 species